CACUCGCCUCUGAGAGCUCUGGCAGCCAUGUCAGGAGCAAAGAGAGCGAGGGGCGAAGCUUGCCCAAUUUCCAAUAGGAAGGGAGAGCUGGGGGCCCCAGAAGCGAAGAGGAGGAGGGGGGCCGCCUUUAAGAUCAAGCGGAGGAGGAAGGAAAAGAGAGUGCGUUUCCAUCGCGCCUGGACCAGCGCUGUGACCACCUCCGUGGAGCCCAUGGAGGUGGAUCCACCUCCGGAUGAGCCCAUGGAGGUGGAUCCGCCUGCGGCACAGCUGGCCUGGCACCACACCACCGUGCCAGGCCCCGCAUCGGCGCCGUCCCACCGCCGCUGGUCCAGGCGCUCGGCUCCCUAUCCGCUGCGCGGCCCCCGCCCCCAGCAUUAGCUGGGUGGCAUUAGUUUCCAUCAGCUCCUCCUCUGGAGCCAAUUCUGCGGGCCCCCAGCUCCAUCUUCAACCUGUUAUGUCCCCGUCCCUGUUUUUCUUGUUGAUUUUAGUGUUAAGUUUAGUGUUAGUGUUAGGAGUAGGUUAUUGUUCAUGUUUUAGAGUUAGGCAUAGGUUACUCGUAGUCUUUUAGUGUUAGGCAUAGGUUCCUGUUCUUGAGUUAGGCAUAGGUUAGUUGUAGUCUUUUAGUGUUAGGCAUAGGUUCCUGUUCAUACUUGACAGUUAGGGGUCGAUUGCUGGUGUCAGGUGGAGGUGAGCAGCGCUCACUCGGUAAGCACACGGCUGAUUGAUGGUGCGAAGACAUGAGUGCGAGUGCCGUGAGCACGGAGGCCCAGUGGCAUCUUGGAUGGAUUGAAUUUGCAGCUUGUGACUUUUGUGUUGCAGACCGUCGAGGAGCAGAGUGUGAGUGGCUGCAACCUUGUGUUGGGCCUCAGGAGAACAGUGUGUGACUGUGUCUCGAGCAUCCUGCGUGGCCGUUGCCAGGUAGGUGUGCCUUCCUUUGCAGUAAGCAGUGCUUAGGCGUGAGCCCAGCUCAUCCCCCUGUCCUGAGCAGAUGGGCUUUCUGCGUGCUUUAUUGCUGUGCUUGGUGCCGUCCGGCACAGCAGCAGCAAGGCCGUGAACACGUACGUAGCCAGGUAGAUGCAAAUGUGCAAGUGAUGGUAUGAAUACUCUUGUUGUUAGUGUUCAUGAGACAGUGGUCGUGCGUGUGUGAUCAAGCUCAGGAAGAAGUUGAUUCUUGCGUGUUCAGCUGUUGCUGAAAUGCAAGUUUGGCAUCCCUGCUUGUGGUUGGGUCGGAAGACCAAGGAUAUGUUCAGAGCACGUCUGUGAGUCAGGCUGGGAGUUUUUGCUAGCAGGAAGUCACAGCGUCGGAGCGCACGAAUGGAAUGAUGGCUCUCGUUUCCCCCUUGUAGAAAGCAGCCUCCUGGAGAGCAGCAGAGCAGCAGGCUGUCUGCGCUAUGGCCGCUGAACUGCAUUUCUCGCCCCGUGAGAUCCCUGAGCCCACGCUGAUGGAGAACGUGCUGCGCUCCGGCCUCUUCUUUGGAGCCGUUUUGCAGCUUGUGUGCGUGCUGGCCAUAACCCUGCCAGUUCCCAAGCGCCCAGAGACAGACUGGGACGGCUUGGAGUCUAAGACUUGGGAGACGGUGAAGAAACCAAAGGCAAGUGCUGCACAGCUAAGCAAGAAAGCCAAGAAGGAAAGCAAAAAGAAACGACCGUCGAGGCACGAAAUGGAGUACGGGCUCAGGGGAGCAAUGGGUGCCUGUGUCACAACCUUCCUGAGCUCCCCUUGCAAGCUCCUGCUCCCCUCGCCUGCAAGUGGAGCAAUGCUCAGGUUUGAGGAAUCGUUUCCUUGGCAGGCGGUAAAAGACGACGCGGCUGCAAGUUUCGUGUCCUUGUUUGUCAUUGGAAAGCAGCCUCCUUGAGAGCAGGAGAGCAGCUGCUGUGUGGUGCUGAAGGGCAUUUCUCCCAGCUGAGAUCCCUGAGCCCACACUGGCGGAGAACGUGCUGCACCACCAUCUCUUCUGCAGGGCCGCUUUGCAGCUGCUCUGUGCGCUGGCUGUAAUCGUGCCGGUUUCCAGGUGCCAUAAGCCAGACUGGCACAGUCUUGGGACUCAGUCUGGCGAGGCAGUGAAGAAAGCCAAGGCAAGUGCUGCUCUGCUGAGGAAGAAAGCCCAGAAGGAGAGCAAAAAGAACCGAGCAGGGCUUGAGCAAGAAGGCCCACAGGACACUGGGAUCAGCUGGAAUGCUUCCUCGGAGGUGGCACCAAAGGCAGCGGACUGAGUCCAGUUUUGUGGCAUGACUGUGCUUUCUCUGUCAUGGACAGUGCAGCGGAACUGAGGCACCUGGAAGGGAAGGGCUUGUGCUGCGUUCCCAGCAAGGAGGGAUUGCCAGAGCCAGGUCUUCAGCUAUGGCAAGAGGUGGAGAGGCUGUGUUCCUUCAGGCUGCGUCUCUUCAGGGCCAGGGCCGGUCUAGUGUGAGAUUCAAGUAUGGCUAGCCGGGCCUGGAGGGAGAGGAGCUGACAUAGCCACAGGGUCAGGCUUCUCCUUGUGUCUGGCUGGAGGCUGAUUGACUCAUUGCUAAGCAGAAACCCUGGGCGCUGGGGUUUCAUUUUGGGCUGUGUUGAUAUAAAUACAACCCAGAGCCUUUUGUAUUGAAUAAAAGCAAAACCAACUUUUUCCACACGGUGCUGCCUCUUUCCAUAGCUGGUCAAAAGGUGCCGUGCUUGGGCUGGCAUCACAGGGCCGUGAACCAGUCAGCUCUGCCCUGAAAUUCUGCUGGUUUUCCCCCAUUUCCUUGUUGGUCUUCCCAAUGGGUGGCCUUUCAGCCCACCUGUAGCUGCUGCCCACAGGCUGUGAGCCUGCCCUUGCUCUCCAAGGACCGCCAGCAAAAGCACGAAGGAGGGGAAGCAGCCCGGGAGGAAGAAAGGUGUCCCUGCACUCAGCCCCUGGAGCUUGCCUCUCUUCCUGGUGGCUUUUUCAGCCCUGCGCUGUGCUGAGGGUUGCUUUUUGCCCCGGGAAGCCCAGCUGCACGCGGGCAGCCUUGGGCUGCACAUCAGCCUGGCAUUGGGGCACGAGGAGUGGAGGUGUGGGGGGGAUGGUGUGAAGAGCAGCGCUGGGAGCGGGGAGGAGGAGAGGGCAGCGGGUGGGCGGCAGGGGAACGUGCCUCGGAGCAGAGCUCAGCCUCGAGGCUGGGCGACACGGAGCCGUGCUGCGCUGCUCAAGUGCGGUACGGCAGCGCCGCGUGUUGUGCCAGGGCGCUUUGCUGAGUCCAGGGGCGGGACGGAGCUGCAGCUGGCCAAUGAGAGGCACGAAUGGGCCGGAACUGGCCCUGACCGAUGAGUGGCCGGAGGCGGCGUGGAGCUGCGAUGGUGGAGGGGCUCGUGGUGUUUUUGUGGCAGAAAAUCCCAGAUUUCAAGGGAACGCCUGGGAUUGUUGGCAGAAAACCCUUUAAUCCCUGUUUUUCCCCUUAAAUCUGGGGUUUUCUCCCAGAAAUCCCUGUUUUUCCCCUUAAAUCUGGCUUUUCACUCCCAGAAAUCCCUGUUUUUCCCAAUAAAUGUGUCUUUUUCUCCCAGAAAUCCCUGUUUUUUCCCCUUAAAUCUGGGCUUUUCUCCCUGAAAUCCCAGUUUUUCCACUUAAAUCUGGCUUUUAUCUCCCACAAAUCCUAGUUUUCCCCCUUAAAUCUGGAUUUUUCUCCCAGAAAUCCAUUUUCCCCCUAAAUCCGGGUUUUUCUCCCAGAAAUCCCAUUUUUUCUCCUUAAAUCUGGGGUUUUCUCCCAGAAAUCUCCGUUUUUUCCCCUUAAAUUGGGGGUUUUUCCUCUUAAAUAUGGCUUUUCCACCUAUGAAAUCCCAGUUUUCCCCCUUAAAUCUGGGGUUUUCUCCCAGAAAUCCCUGUUUUUCCACUUAAAUCUGGAUUUUUCACCCAGAAAUUCCUGCUUUUGCCCUUAAAUCUGGGGUUUUCUCCCAGAAAUCCCAUUUUCCCCCUUAAAUUUGGGUUUUCUCCCACAAAUCCCUGUUUUCCCCCUUAAAUCUGGGGUAUUCUCCCAGAAAUCCCUGUUUUUCCACUGAAAUUGGGGGGUAUUCCUCUUAAAUAUGGCUUUUCCUGCUAUGAAAUCCCAGUUUUUCCCCUUAAAUCUGGCAUUUUCGCCAUGAGAGGCGACUGCUUUGCCCAGUGUUUUCCUGUCGCUCCUUGCAGUUCCUGCAUUUGAAUUACUGCACGAUGAUGUGCUGUUUCAACUGCUCCUCGUACCUCUGCAUCAUCUGCAGACUGUGCUGCCAGGGCCCUGAUGGAGGGGUGGAACGCUGCUGGUGCUGGGUGGAGGCCAAGGCCCCUUUCUAUCAACUGGCUUCCAGCUGAGCUUUUGCCAGUGCUCGCAGCCCUCUCUGCCUGGCCCUUGGGGUGGUUUUGUGCCCACCUCGUAGCCCCCUUUUUUAGCUGGUAUGUCGUCCACUUGCCUGUUGUGAGAGAGAGUGAGGAAAGCCUUACAGAGGUGGAGAGAAACAGAAUUCACCGCUGUUUUCUCUCCCACCAAACUUCCCCUCCCCCCGUACACAGCUGUCACAUUGGUACCCAGUUUCCCCUUUGUUCUCUGUCACCCUUUCCCUUCACGAGUCUGGGGACGACUCCUAUUUUGUUUGUAUCUGUUAAGCAUGAUGUAGAAUAAGGGGGGGGAACGUCCUGGUGCUACGCUUUGGGUUCUCAGCAUUGCACACCAUCUCAUCAUGUCAUGCACUGGGGGUUUGGCUGCUGAUGCUCAAGUUGCGGGUGCCUGUCUGGAGGAGAAGAACCACGUUUCCCCAGGGGGCUUUGCGGUCAGCAAGGACACACAGCUCCUGGCCAAGUCCCCUGAUGUUCUCGUCUUCGCCUGCGCUUCUCCGCCUGCUUUUCUUCCUGGGCUCAACUGGACCGCAGUUCUCAGCUCAGCGCUGUGGUGAGGCCUAUCCACCUUUCAGACACACUCUCUCUCUCGCUCGCUCUCAUUCUAUUUUGCUGAUACCAUAUUUAGUAAAUCAGUUUGUUGCACCUCAGAUCGUUGCCACUGUUUUCAAUCAUUUUGGGAUCCCCUGUUUCCCUUUUCCGCCCUGCUGCUCAUGGAACCGGGCCAAACCAGGCCAUCAAGUGCUGCCAUCGAGGCAUCUCCACUUCAGAGCUGGAUAGAGAGCGGGGAGAGAAAGAAAGGGGAAGGGAGGGGAGAGGAGGAGAGGGGAAUGGAGCCUGAAGCCUGGAGGAGAGGCAAUGUCACCGCGGUGUUCAAAAAGGGCAAGAAGGAAGAGCCAGGCAAUGAUGGGCCAGCCAGCCUCACCUCUGUCCCUGGAAAGGUGAUGGAACAGCUGUGCUGGAUGCCAUCUCCUGACAAUGGAAGAAAAGGUUAUCAGGAGUAGUCAGCACGGGUUCACAAAGGGGAGGUUGUGCUUAACCAACCUGGUAGCCUUCUAUGAUGUUGUCUCUGGCUGGGUGGAUGGGGGCAGAGCAGUGGAUGUAGUCUAUCUUGAUUUCAGCAAGGCAUUUGAUACUGUCCCCCACGACAUCCUUAUAACAAAGCUGAGGAAGUGUGGGAUAGAUGAGUGGACAGUGAGGUGGGCUGAGAACUGGCUGACUGGCAGAGCACAGAGGGUCGUUGUUGGUGGUGCAGAAUCCGGUUGGAGGCCUGUAACUAGCGGUGUUCCUCAGGGGUCUGUGCUGGGUCCGGUCUUGUUCAACAUCUUCAUCAAUGACCUUGAUGAGGGGAUAAUGGCCACCCUCAGCAAGUUUGCUGAUGAUACGAAGUUGGGAGGAUUGGCUGAAGGCCGUGCUGCCAUUCAGCAAGACCUGCACAGGCUGAGAGCUGGGCACAAAAAACGGGAUGAGGUUUAACAACAGCAAGUGUAGAGUCUUGCAUCUGGGGAGGAAUAAUUCCAUGCAGC